rnacentral:rRNA from 1 species
ACGGAAGGCAGCAGUGGGGAAUAUUGCGCAAUGGGGGAAACCCUGAUGCAGCAACGCCGCGUGAGUGAAGAAGUAUUUCGGUAUGUAAAGCUCUAUCAGCAGGGAAGAUAAUGACGGUACCUGACUAAGAAGCACCGGCUAAAUACGUGCCAGCAGCCGCGGUAAUACGUAUGGUGCAAGCGUUAUCCGGAUUUACUGGGUGUAAAGGGUGCGUAGGUGGCAUGGUAAGUCAGAUGUGAAAUACCGGGGCUCAACCCCGGGGCUGCAUUUGAAACUGCCAGGCUGGAGUACAGGAGAGGCAAGCGGAAUUCCUAGUGUAGCGGUGAAAUGCGUAGAUAUAUGGAGGAACAUCAGUGGCGAAGGCGGCUUACUGGGCUUUAACUGACGCUGAGGCUCGAAAGCGUGGGGAGCAAACAGGAUUAGAUACCCUGGUA